GGUCCCUAUCUGCCGUGGGCGCUGGAGAACUGAGGGGGGCUGCUCCUAGUACGAGAGGACCGGAGUGGACGCAUCACUGGUGUUCGGGUUGUCAUGCCAAUGGCACUGCCCGGUAGCUAAAUGCGGAAGAGAUAAGUGCUGAAAGCAUCUAAGCACGAAACUUGCCCCGAGAUGAGUUCUCCCUGACUCCCUGAGAGUCCUGAAGGAACGUUGAAGACGACGACGUUGAUAGGCCGGGUGUGUAAGCGCAGCGAUGCGUUGAGCUAACCGGUACUAAUGAACCGUGAGGCUUAACCUUACAACGCCGAAGGUGUUU
rnacentral:rRNA from 1 species